GACGAACGCUGGCGGCGUGCUUAACGCAUGCAAGUCGAACGGAAAGGCCCUGCUUUUGUGGGGUGCUCGAGUGGCGAACGGGUGAGUAACACGUGAGUAACCUGCCCUUGACUUUGGGAUAACUUCAGGAAACUGGGGCUAAUACCGGAUAGGAGCUCCUGCUGCAUGGUGGGGGUUGGAAAGUUUCGGCGGUUGGGGAUGGACUCGCGGCUUAUUAGCUUGUUGGUGGGGUAGUGGCUUACCAAGGCUUUGACGGGUAGCCGGCCUGAGAGGGUGACCGGCCACAUUGGGACUGAGAUACGGCCCAGACUCCUACGGGAGGCAGCAGUGGGGAAUAUUGCACAAUGGGCGGAAGCCUGAUGCAGCAACGCCGCGUGCGGGAUGACGGCCUUCGGGUUGUAAACCGCUUUCGCCUGUGACGAAGCGUGAGUGACGGUAAUGGGUAAAGAAGCACCGGCUAACUACGUG
rnacentral:rRNA from 1 species